CUUUACUUUCCCAUUUCAAUCGAAGAAGACCCUAAACCUAAAGAUAUUUUUCUUUCUCUUACUCUCCCAAUCAGCGUGACCAACUCCCGAAGCAACCAGAAAAACCACCGGUCGACUCCAAUCGUCGGUGAGUCCUCGUCUUCCUCUUCUUCUCUUUCCCCGUCACUCCUCUCUCCUCUUAUCCUCCUCCUUUCCCUCUCGUCUCCGGCUACAACAGCAACUUGGCCAGCCAGCAACUCCAACUCCAGCAGCCACCAGGCGAGGCUAAUGACAACAACAUGAACAACAACUCCAAUGAGACAAUGCAACACCACCAUUAGCUGUCGCCGUCGAGGACACCAGCUCCAACCGGGGAUAACAACUCCAGCGACUGGCAAGAAUCCCACCAAGAAAUCUCCAUGGAAUUCCAAGCUUUGGGUCGUUAGACGGAUCUCGACAGAUCUGUCCAGCAGGUUGGACUUUUUUGUUCAAGUUAAAGAGUCACCUGGUUAAGAUAUUAGGAUGGAGUUUUAUAUUUUGUUUUAAGUUAAUUUUGUUGUUGUUGGGUUUGUUCCUAUUCGGUUCUGUAAGAAUCUUGUAAUAACUCUUUGACUCUCUCACAUAUAUAAUAUAACUUGGGGUACCGUCUAAAUGGUGGAGGA